AGAGUUUGAUCCUGGCUCAGGACGAACGCUGGCGGCGUGCUUAAUACAUGCAAGUCGAGCGGACCUUUGCCGUUUGUUGCCGGUUACCGGCGACAAAUGGCAACGGUUAGCGGCGAACGGGUGAGUAACGCGUGGGUAAUCUGCCCCCAAGACCGGGAUAACAGGGCGAAAGCGCUGCUAAUACCGGAUGACCUCUCUUUAUCGCAUGGUGAAGGGAGCAAAGCUACGGCGCUUGGGGAUGAGCCCGCGUUCCAUUAGCUAGUUGGUGAGGUAACAGCUCACCAAGGCGACGAUGGAUAGCCGGCCUGAGAGGGUGACCGGCCACACUGGGACUGAGACACGGCCCAGACUCCUACGGGAGGCAGCAGUAGGGAAUUUUCGGCAAUGGGGGAAACCCUGACCGAGCAACGCCGCGUGAGGGAUGAAGGCCUUCGGGUCGUAAACCUCUGUCUUUGGGGACGAUAAUGACGGUACCCGAGGAGGAAGCCCCGGCUAACUACGUGCCAGCAGCCGCGGUAAUACGUAGGGGGCGAGCGUUGUCCGGAAUUACUGGGCGUAAAGGGCGUGUAGGCGGCCUGUUAAGUCAGGCGUGAAAACCCCGGGCUUAACCUGGGGACUGCGUUUGAAACUGGCGGGCUUGAGGGCAGGAGAGGAAAGUGGAAUUCCCGGUGUAGCGGUGAUAUGCGUAGAUACCGGGAGGAACACCAGUGGCGAAGGCGGCUUUCUGGACUGCACCUGACGCUGAGGCGCGAAAGCCAGGGGAGCGAACGGGAUUAGAUACCCCGGUAGUCCUGGCCGUAAACGAUGGAUACUAGGUGUGGGUGGUUUCGAUACCAUCCGUGCCGUAGUUAACGCAUUAAGUACCCCGCCUGGGGAGUACGUGCGCAAGCAUGAAACUCAAAGGAAUUGACGG
rnacentral:rRNA from 1 species